rnacentral:rRNA from 1 species
UACGUAGGGGGCAAGCGUUGUCCGGACUUACUGGGCGUAAAGAGCGCGCAGGCGGUCGUUCAAGUCGCGUGUGAAAGCCCCCGGCUCAACUGGGGAGGGUCACGCGAUACUGAUCGACUGGAAGGCAGGAGAGGGUAGUGGAAUUCCCGGUGUAGUGGUGAAAUGCGUAGAUAUCGGGAGGAACACCAGUGGCGAAGGCGACUACCUGGCCUGUUCUUGACGCUGAGGCGCGAAAGCUAGGGGAGCAAACGGG